rnacentral:lncRNA from 1 species
AGCUAGCAGAUUCUUGGGGUCCAAAAGGAAGUCAGCCCUACAGUAUAAAGGAAGCCUUCCACAUGAUCAAUCAGUUACCCAACCUCUUUCCCUGUUGUGGCUCUGCCCUCCUCUGGGGUCUUGGAGUUCUCACCAUCAUCAGUUCCACAGCUUCUGUCUAGGAGGCACAAAGAAUAUGGCACCAGAAAGAUGCAGAAGGCAGCAGGGGGUGAAUAGCAUGUUGCAUGUGUAUACAUGAAAGGGAUUUUCAAUUUCCAGUGCAAAUUUUAAGUGUGUUUUUAUUGCUUACGUCUUAAACUAGGACCAAUCUCCAAGUCAUUUACUUAUGUGUCAGGAUAAAAAUAUGAUUACAUAGAUGAGGAAUCGUCGGGUUAACAGUACCUCGAGAUGUGUUUUGAUCCAGCCACAUACUCAAAAGGAAACGCUCAGAAACAGCAAUUGUCGCCACAAAUGAAGAAUGUUCACGUUUGUUUUACAACUUCUUAAUGCACCGCAUUCAGUCUUCCUGUAAACUUGACUGCUUAGUCCUUAAAGUAUAUUGGUGGAGCAAUGUCUGCAUGCCUUCGUCAACACAUCUAUUGGCCUGUUUGUCCCAGCAUCCCAGUUGGAAUGGGAACCCUUCUAAGAAAAGCCUUUAUCCUUUACUCACCUACAAACUCACUGGGCACCCCCGGAAUUGUGGUCCUGGGCGUAUAGCAGGUGUCUAGUCACUCUUUUCUGGUUGUGCCAGUAAUUGGGGCCUGAUUACAAUUCUGUUUCAUCCAGUGCACCUCAAUGGAGAGAAACCAGCAAGAAACUCAUGCUUUCUGCCCCAUCUCCUUCCUUUCUUCUGUGUGUAAAGUGGAGAAAAGGCUGGAGAGUGUGGUAAGAUAGGAAGAAACCAAGCAAAGCACACAUAAACAAACAAAUGAAUAAAUAAAAGGGAAAAAUAGGGGAGAUUUUGAGUUGUCAAGAAAAGAAGAACUCUGAACUUUUGGCACAGACUCAAACCUGGAAACCCAGUGAGGUUUGCCCAUCACUAAUGAUCACAUAAUAAUAUGUUCCCAGGGGAGGGGCUGAGAGAGGCUAUUAAAAUACCGCAGCUCUGGUGCUCUAUGGGAGACAAGUUUUCUGAAACGUGGUCCCUGUCAGAUUUCCCUUGAGAGUCAAAGGGAAAAAUGACUGCAGUUUGGCUUCUAAAAGGUAAAAUGUUGGGAAAACUCACUGGGGAGGUUUCUUUCCCCAGCACAGGGUUUGGAAAUGCCUGCGUUUGCGUUGUAUAUUUUAAAUGUGGUGAUGGGCCAGCUUGUUAAGUGUGCUGGCUUGCUUACUGGGUGACUGGCAGGCAGCCGUAAGUGAGCGGAAACAAAACCAUUUGUGGGGUAUGAGGUGGCCAAGGUAGCCAGAACCAGCCUUUUGUGAUGUCUUCAAUAAAAACAGUUAUUUC